UACGGGGGGAGCAAGCGUUGUUCGGAUUUACUGGGCGUAAAGGGCGCGUAGGCGGUCAGCACAAGUCAGUUGUGAAAUCUCCGGGCUUAACUCGGAAAGGUCAACUGAUACUGUGCGACUAGAGUGCAGAAGGGGCAACUGGAAUUCUCGGUGUAGCGGUGAAAUGCGUAGAUAUCGAGAGGAACACCUGCGGCGAAGGCGGGUUGCUGGGCUGACACUGACGCUGAGUGCGCGAAAGCGUGGGGAGCGAACAGG
rnacentral:rRNA from 1 species